rnacentral:rRNA from 1 species
GACGAACGCUGGCGGCGUGCUUAACACAUGCAAGUCGAACGGAAAGGCCCUGCUUUUGUGGUGUUCUCGAGUGGCGAACGGGUGAGUAACACGUGAGUAACCUGCCCUUGACUUUGGGAUAACUUCAGGAAACUGGGGCUAAUACCGGAUAGGAGCUCCUGCUGCAUGGUGGGGGUUGGAAAGUUUCGGCGGUUGGGGAUGGACUCGCGGCUUAUCAGCUUGUUGGUGGGGUAGUGGCUUACCAAGGCUUUGACGGGUAGCCGGCCUGAGAGGGUGACCGGCCACAUUGGGACUGAGAUACGGACCAGACUCCUACGGGAGGCAGCAGUGGGGAAUAUUGCACAAUGGGCGGAAGCCUGAUGCAGCAACGCCGCGUGCGGGAUGACGGCCUUCGGGUUGUAAACCGCUUUCGCCUGUGACGAAGCGUGAGUGACGGUAAUGGGUAAAGAAGCACCGGCUAACUACGUG